rnacentral:tRNA from 1 species
GGAAGUGUGCCUGAACUGCAUCAAGGAGUACUUUGAUAGAGUACCACAUAUGGGUUAAAUCCCCAUCAUUUCCU